CGGGACACGUGGUAUCCUGUCUGAAUAUGGGGGGACCAUCCUCCAAGGCUAAAUACUCCUGACUGACCGAUAGUGAACCAGUACCGUGAGGGAAAGGCGAAAAGAACCCCGGCGAGGGGAGUGAAAAAGAACCUGAAACCGUGUACGUACAAGCAGUGGGAGCACGCUUAGGCGUGUGACUGCGUACCUUUUGUAUAAUGGGUCAGCGACUUAUAUUCUGUAGCAAGGUUAACCGAAUAGGGGAGCCGAAGGGAAACCGAGUCUUAACUGGGCGUUAAGUUGCAGGGUAUAGACCCGAAACCCGGUGAUCUAGC
rnacentral:rRNA from 1 species